rnacentral:tRNA from 1 species
GCUGGAGUAGCUCAGUAGGUAGAGCAGCUGAUUCGUAAUCAGCAGGUCGCGUGUUCGAUUCACGUCUUCAGCUCCA